rnacentral:misc_RNA from 1 species
UAAGACGCACUAGGCUACUACUAUCAUCCCUGUCAUAAGCGCCAAUUUCCU